rnacentral:rRNA from 1 species
UUAUGUGAUCGUCUCUCGCAUAUCAAUAAGCGGAGGAAAAGAAACUAACAAGGAUUCCCCUAGUAACGGCGAGUGAAGCGGGAAGAGCUCAAAUUUGAAAUCUUAAAGGGUUUCCCUUUACGAAUUGUAGUUUAAAGAAGUGUUUUCUGUUGAGGUUUUGGUAAAAGUUCUUUGGAAUAGGACAUCAUAGAGGGUGAGAAUCCCGUAUUUGACCUUUACUUUCAACUUUGUGAUACACUUUCAAAGAGUCGGAUUGUUUGGGAAUGCAGUCCAAAAUGGGUGGUAAAUUUCAUCUAAAGCUAAAUAUUGGCGAGAGACCGAUAGCGAACAAGUACCGUGAGGGAAAGAUGAAAAGAACUUUGAAAAGAGAGUUAAACAGUACGUGAAAUUGUCAAAAGGGAAGCGUUUGACACCAGUGUUGUUUUUCUGAAAAUCAAUUAAAGAACUGUUUAUGCUAAGCUGUUUAGACUUUAUCAGCUAACUGUUUAGUUUUGAGCUUUUCUUUAAUGCACUUUUCAGUUAACAAGUCAACAUCAAUUUCUUUUGCUGUAAAAAAGCUUGAGGAAGGUGGCUUGAGAUUCGUCUUAAGUGUUUAUAGCCUCUUGCCUAUGCAGUCGGAGAGAUUGAGGUCUGCAGCGUAGAUCCUUCGGGGCUAAAUGCAUUUGUGCUAAGUUAUAGCAUUUUAUAGACAACUUGUUGACUAUGAUUUGUCUUGUAGCUUACUCGCUUAUGUUAUUUUACCUACGCUUAGGAUGUUGAAGUCAUCACACAUCUCU